rnacentral:rRNA from 1 species
UACGUAGGUGGCAAGCGUUGUCCGGAUUUACUGGGCGUAAAGGGCUCGUAGGCGGUCUGUCACGUCGGGAGUGAAAACACGGGGCUUAACCCCGUGCCUGCUUCCGAUACGGGCAGACUAGAGGUAUGCAGGGGAGAACGGAAUUCCUGGUGUAGCGGUGAAAUGCGCAGAUAUCAGGAAGAACACCCGUGGCGAAAGCGGCUCUCUGGAACGGUACUGACGCUGAGACGCGAAAGCGUGGGGAGCGAACAGG